UGAUUUUGACAUAAUUUAUGUAUUCUCUUUUUUUGUGUCCAUCCUGCUAGAGGAUUUUCAAUUUUAUUUCUUUUUCAAAGAAUCAGCAUUUUGUUUAAUUACUUUUCUCUAUUACUUUUCUGUUUUCACUUUCAUUGAUUUCCGCUCUUAUCUUUAUUAUUUCCCUCCUGCUGCUUGUGUUGGGUUUGUUUUGCUCUUGUUUGUCUAGUUUGUGAAGUUAGGUUAGAUUAUUGAUCUGACACCUCCAGAAGGGCUUUGGACACACUGCCAGGGAGAGUCUGCCUGUAUUCUGCUUGACCCAUCUCGAAAUACUUAGAGGCUGAAGGAUAGGUGCUACAAACCAACUGUUUGUAUGCCUCCCUCCCUGACCAAGUUCAUAUGUUAAAAUCCUAAUCCCAAUGUGAUGGGAUUUGGGAGAUGUGAUUAGGUCAGGAGGGUUCAGCCCAGAAUGACCGACCUCAUAAAAGAGGCUCCAGAGAGAUCCCUAGUCCCUUUCACCACAUGAGGACACAGUGAAAAGAUGGCUGUCUAUGAACCAGAGCUCUCACCAAACACCAAAUCUUCUGGUGCCAUGAUCUUGGAUUUCUCAGCCUUCAGGACUGUGAGAAAUAAGUUUCUCUUAUUUAUAAACAACACAGUUUGUGGUAUUUUUGUUAUAGCAGCCCUAACAGACUAAGACAAUGGGGGACUUCUUUAGAAGAACAUGUCAGCCUUAGCACUUAAUCCCCUUCCUCUCCACCAUCAGUAUCUAGAAUGAGGGGUGAUGUGUGGAGAAAGUCAGGUAUUUGAGUUUUACCUAGGGGUAGGCCUCCCCUCACCCUUUCUCACCUUCAAGAAGUUGGAUAUAUCAUUUCCAUGCAAAACUUCUGUACUUUUACUCAAUAACAUCCAAAUAAUAACUUCAAAGUAUCACCUUGAUAUGAUAUAAGUGGUGGUGGUAAUACUUAGGUCACCUUUAGGACACUUCUUUUGAAUUUUCCCUUAGGUCUGCCCCAUAUUCUUUUGGUAGUUUCUCAAAGGCAACUGAGCUUUUGUCUAUUUAGUUGCUGACCUUUGCUUUCAAUUUGACUAGGUGAGUAUGUUCAGCCUCAUGGAUCUCCCACAUUUAUUUGUUUGCACUUGGGGGUGGGGGGGGUGUAUAUUAUUGGAGAUUUGGACCUAAUAUGCAAUAUGUAGCUGCACUUUGGAUUAAAACAAGCAGAUUAGAUGAGUCAGACAUGAAUCAUUAACGUGUUUGGAAUAAAAUAGAUGAAGUCAAAGAGACCGCGUGGAAACAAUACUGCAGUUGAACAUGCGAUGUGUUAGAGAAUGUGUACUCUGGUUCUGGAUGUUGCAAGUGGAGAACACAAUACAUAAUGCUUUAGUACGUGAAUUCACUAAAUUGAAGAUGUGUAAAAAACUGCCUCAUGAAAUUGUGAAGUAGAAAAUCGUUUUUUCUUCAAUCUCUACAAACAGGGUUUUAAAGUCCUUUUUUUGCCUGCUGAGUGCAGAUCGAGAGCAGAACUGCUUUAGUUAUUUGCCUCUGCCCUGCUCCACAGGGGAGACUGACCCCCCGGGGAGUUUUGUUGUUACCAUUAUAAUUACAAUCAAACAUUCUUUGGAACCAUUGUUACUAGAAACCUGAAAAAUUGAGUAUGAGAUGCACGAAAAGGCUGUGCCAGGGACCAGUAAAAAAUAGUUCCAAAUCCUGGUUAGGUUAUGCUAUUGACAUGGAAAAAGGAUGAUAAGAUUGUCAGAUUGCAUCCGAAGUGAGUGUCUACAGGGUUAUUAGUGGAUACAUAUGUGAUGGGACACAGUUUAAACAGUUUUUUUAUUUAUAAAAAUGUAUUAAUUCCUUUUCCUUGACUUUAUGUAAGAAGUAAGCCAUGAAGGAAUUGCUCUAAUACUUUUGUAUCAAUAUAUAAGAUAUUAAAAAUAUUUUUUUAAUAUUUAUUUUUUUGAGAGAGAGAGAUAGAGAGCCAGAGUGUGAGUGGGGGAGGGGCAGAGAGAGAGGGAGACACUGAAUCUGAAGUAGGCUCCAGGCUCUGAGCUGUCAGCACAGAGCCUGAUGCGGGUUUCGAACCCACGAACUGUGAAAUCGUGACCUGAGCCAAAGUCGGACGCUUAACAGUCUGAGCCACCCAGGCACCCAAGAAUUAUUUUAAGGACAUUAUUCAUCAUAAAUUUUUCUACUCUGCUAGCUCCUUCCUCCUACCCUUAAUUUUUCAACAUUUCAAAACCUUGAGAAAAAUUGAAAGAAUAAUACAUUUUACCACAUUAGUUUCUUUAUCCUGUGUACUGUUUUUUUUUUUCCUGAAUCAAUGGAAAGUAAAUUACAAAAACCAUGGCACAUCACUCCUAAAUAUUUCAUUUAUACAUUUCUGAAGAAUAUGGAAAUUCAUUUCAUAAAUAUGAUGCCAUGAUCACACCUAAGAAAAUUAACAAUAGUUCCACAAUAUCAUCUAACGUACUGUGUAUAUUCAAAUUACUGUAAUUGUCCCCAAAAUGUAUUUUAUAGUCUUGUUUCUUUCUCAAUCCAGCUGCCAACAAAGUUCAGGUUUUGCCCUUGGUUAUGCCCGUUUAUGCUUUUAAUCUCGAAUAGUUUAACACCCUUCUUUUCCAGGAUUGAAUGAUUUAGAAAAUAAAAAUACAGAAUGUUCAGUUAAUUUGAAUGUCAGCUAAACAAUGAAUCAUCCCUUAGUAUAACAUAUUCCAUGCUUACACUAAAAGAUGAUCUUGUCAUUCAUCUGACAUUCAAAUUUAACACAGUGUCCUGUAUUUUAUCUGGAAACUUAACUUUUUGGAAAGUUCAGACCAGUUGCAUUGUAGAGUAACUCAAACUCUGAGUCUGUUUGUUUUCUGAUUUGAUUCUGUUAGACAUUUUUCUACAAAAACGUUUCACAGGUGAUGGUGCAUGUUUCUUAUUGCAUGACAUUAGGACACAUACCUAGUCGUCCCAUUUGUGAAGCUAAGUUUGAUUCCUGGAUGAACGUGGUGACCACCAAAUCUCUUCUUCCUUUGGAAUUACUAAUUUGUGGGAUGAUCUUCUAAGACCAGGCAGAGAGAGACAGAACACAAGUGGGGGAGGGGCAGAGAGAGAAGGAGACACAAAAUCCGAAGCAGGAUCCAGGCUCCGAGCUGUCAGCACAGAGCCCGACGUGGGGCUCAAACUCACAAAGAUCAUGACCGGAGCUGAAGUCGGAUGCUUAACCGGCUGAGCCACCCAGGCGCCCCUGGUUUUGUUCUGAUAUUAAAUGACAUAUCUUUAAAUGGUUACUGUUUGUAUUUUGAAAGACAUGCCCUGAGUAGUUGAUGAUCCAAAUAGAGGAGCAUAUGGAGUAGACCUGAAUCCAUCCUGCAGCCUCAAGCAUAACCACCCUUGCCAACCCACAGACUGGAGAGUGAAAAAAAGAAAAAUAUUUGAUGUGGUAAGCCACUGAGAUAUCGGGGGUGUUUGUUACUAUUUUCACAGUAGUAGUAGCUCACUAACACAAAAUCCUUUCUAUCAUCUACACAUCUAAUCAACAUUUUUCUCCUUAGAUCUAACUACAUGAUGAACUGCUAAUGUAUUUACUAAUAUUGAAGCUUCGUUGUCUGGGAAUAACCUCACCCCUCAAUUAUGAUACACUCCUUAAACUUGAUUUUAGAUUCUGUUUGCUGACAUUUAUUUGGGAUUAUUCCAUUCCUAGUCAUGAGUGAGAUUGCUUUAUAGUUUUCUCGUGUGUGUCUAUGUGUGUUUGCGUGUGUGUGUAAUAUUUACCAGGUUUGGGUGUUAAAAUUAUACUUGUUUCAUAAAGAUCAUAUGAGAGUUUUCCCUCUGUGCUACUAUUUAAAUGAUAUUGGGCUUAUCUGGACUUUGAAAAUUUGAUAGAAUUCCCCUGUAAAAUCAUUUGGGUCUAAUUUUUACUGUUAGUUGUUUGAUAACUUCUUCUCUUUCCUUUAUAGAAAUCUGUCUAUUUAUGCUUUCCAUGUAUAGCAAGGUCAAUUUUGGUAAAUUGUAUUUUCUUAGAAAAUAAUCCAAUUCAUAUAGGUUUUCCAUUUUAUUUGUAUGAGUUGUAUAAAGUAGUCUUUUGAUAUUUAAAAACUCACCUUUCAUUGGUUAUCUCCUUGUUUUUAUUUCUUAUUUGUGCUUUCU